UACGUAGGGUGCGAGCGUUGUCCGGAAUUAUUGGGCGUAAAGAGCUCGUAGGCGGUCUGUCGCGUCGGUCGUGAAAACUUGGGGCUUAACCCUGAGCUUGCGGUCGAUACGGGCAUGACUGGAGUUCGGCAGGGGAGACUGGAAUUCCUGGUGUAGCGGUGAAAUGCGCAGAUAUCAGGAGGAACACCGGUGGCGAAGGCGGGUCUCUGGGCCGAUACUGACGCUGAGGCGCGAAAGCUAGGGGAGCAAACAGG
rnacentral:rRNA from 1 species